ACGUCAGCCAGUGGGAGCGGGUCGGUAGGUCCCGGGUGCCCGGUCCUUCGUUGGGAGGCCACCAGGAGGCGUCCCUUGACUGCGGAGUCUCGAGCUAAGUGUCUGCGGCCACACCCAGCCCCUGGCGGCCCCCCAGCCUGGCCCAGGAUGGACCGGGAGACGCGUCUUUUCGCGGAGAACUACUUCCGGAGCGCGCGGGGUCCCCUCCCCGGUAGGGUCUGCCCGCCCCCGGCCCGCGUGGACUGGAUCGAGAAGCCCGAGUCGUUUUCGUACGCCGACUUCUUCAAGGGCUACCUGCUGCCCAACGUGCCGUGCGUGUUCUCCAGCACCUUCACCGAGGGCUGGGGCAGCCGCCGGCGCUGGGUGACAGCCGACGGGAAACCCGACUUCGACCACCUGCUCCGAAACUAUGGUGACGUGGUGGUGCCGGUUGCAAACUGCGAGCUGCAAGAAUACAACUCGAACCCCAAGGAGCACAUGCCGCUCAGAGACUACAUCGGCUACUGGAGAGAGCACAUCCAGGGGGGCUACGCCUCGCCGCGGGGCUGCCUGUACCUCAAAGACUGGCACCUGUGCAGGGACUCCUCAGCAGAGGGUGUGUUCACUCUGCCUGUGUACUUCUCAUCCGACUGGCUGAACGAGUACUGGGACGCCCUGGACGUGGAUGACUACCGCUUCAUCUACAUGGGACCCACUGGCACCUGGUCACCCUUCCAUGCUGACAUCUUGCGCUCCUUCAGCUGGUCUGUCAACAUCUGUGGCAGGAAAAAGUGGCUGCUCUUCCCUCCGGGGCAAGAGGAGGCCCUGCGGGAUCGCCACGGCAGCCUGCCCUAUGACGUGACCUCGCCGACACUCCUUGACAGACGCCUGCACCCUAAGCAGGAGCACUGCAGCCCACCAUUGGAGGUCAUACAGGAGGCAGGCGAGAUGAUAUUUGUGCCCAGUGGGUGGCACCACCAAGUCUACAAUCUGGAGGACACAAUCUCCAUCAACCACAACUGGAUCAAUGGCUGUAAUCUGGCCAACAUGUGGCAUUUCCUGCAGCAGGAGCUCCGCCUGGUGCAGCAGGAAAUCGUCCAGUGGAAGGACACCAUGCCCGACUGGCACCAUCACUGCCAGGUCAUCAUGAAGUCUUGCACUGGCAUCAAUUUCGAAGAGUUUUACCACUUCCUCAAGGUCAUUGCCGAAAGGAGGCUCCUCAUCCUAGCGAAGAGUAUGGACCCUGUCGAAUCGAAGGGCAGCGAGGUUGUUGAGCUGGGCCCCCAACAGGCCGCUUUCGACAUUGGCCGGAUCGCUGAGGUGCUGGCAUCUGUGGUGGUCCACCCAGACUUCCAGAGAGUAGACACCAGUGCAUGCUCACCACGGCCAGAAGAGCUCCUGCAGCAGCUCGAGGAGGCUGUGGCUACCAUCGCCACAUCCCUUUAGCACGUGCCGUAAGAAUGUGUGACUGACUCAGGACAGAAGCCUGGAGGUGCUGGUAGAAGGCAGUGCAGGGCCCAGCUCUGGGAACUUAUCUGGAAAUAAAUGCCAUCUUUCCAUGUGGCAUGGGACAUGUCACCUCCCUCCUGAGCCCAGUGGAUGUAGUAUUUGUAGAAAGAACCAUGAAGACAGCUCGCCUGGGAGGUGCCUAAAUUGCCUUGUGUGUGACUCAGGUGCAAGCCUGCUCCUCCCUGUGCUACCUGAAAAGAAAGGUCUCUUCUGCUGCCUCAUAUCCUUUAAUAUAAGUGACUGGUAAAAAUGGAUUGCACAUAGGAGGACCAACUGUUUUUUUUUCACAUCUAAGAUGUUGUCUGCUCUAUGUUCUAUUUAUUUGUUUAUUUAUUUUAAUUGUCUCUAUCUGAAUAGUCAGCCUGGAGUGGAGAAACAUCAGUGACAACAACAACAUCAGAGACAUUAUUGAUAACCUUUUCUCUAGCUUCUAUUUUGAGUGAUAACAUAUAUUUUAAAAUUUUAUUUAAAUUUUGAUAAAAUUUUUUUAAAAACCUGUUUGCUAGGACAAUGAGAAAUUGAGAGGAAAGGGAGAUUGAGAGGGGGAGAGAAAAUGACACGCCUAUAGCACUGCUUCACCACUAGUGAACACACACACACACACACACACACACACACACACACACACACACACACACACACACACACACACACACCCUGCAGGUGCAGAUAGGGAGUUAACCAGCAUCUUUGCAAGUCCUCAAGUGUUUGCUCAACUGAGGGCACCACUCCCAGCCCCAGGAUACUAUUCUUUAACAACCCUAAGCAGCAGCUUUGAAAAGCUCUUCCUGUCUGCCAGGUGCACUGAGCUGAGCUCUCAGAAUCUGUCCCAUCAUCAGAAGCUCUCAGAUAUUCCUGUGGAAUCUGACUGUUCUUUUACCAUGUCACAGACAAGCCCAGUCAGACAGGAGACACAUCUGUUACACUCAAGGUUGCAUGGCCAUGAAAUAGUGCAGUUCAGUUAAUCUUGAUUAAAUCUUAGCUACUUUGGUCUCCUGCCAGCUGGCAUUUCUGAGAUGAUCUGCGCCUGUUGUUACUCAUCUGACUCAUAUCUUCACCUUUCAGGUUGUAGCCAGGAUCAAAGCAGAGAAUGCAGAGGCAUUUCUCCUUGGAUUUUUUUUUUUUUCCUCUCUAGAAGCACAGAGCUCUGAUGAGUUUAUGGACUUGAAACAGUAAGGAGUGGGGACUCUUGUCCAACACCAAUUAGAAACAUGCUUGUCUUGCAGUUUUCAGGUUCUGACAUCCAGGAGUCCUUUCUUGGGGAGGGUGGAGGGUGAGAAGUAAGAAUACUGGUUUUCGACUGGGGAAUGUUACGCAUGUACAAACUGUUGUACUUACUGUUGAAUGUAAAACAUUAAUUCCCCAAUAAUAAUAAUAAGAAGAAGAAGAAUACUGGUUUUCCAGAAAUGCCAGGACAUUUAUCUGAAUCUGUUGAAAUGACGCUGUCAUUGCGCCUGCCGUUGCUGCAGGGUUGACAGUGAGCUGGUGAGUUCCAGUGGAAGAUUUCUGUCAGUUUUAGCAAAACGUCCCGUCCUCAGCUUGUAGACCUCGACUGGUUGAGAGCUUCCUUUUGUUCUUGGCCCAUUUGCCAUGUCCCAAGCAUGUUUGGGAUGUUCCAUCCUUUGGGGGGGGGUGGUGCAGUGAGUCUUCCUGGUACCUUGUGCUUUUAGUACUGUGAGUGCUCCAUGUGCUCCUGGGGGCUUCCUCUCAGCUUCCAUCUAUUCUGCUCCGAAUGAACUCAUCUGGAAGCAUUGCCUGUAGAGUGUUUUCUGCCAGGCAGUGCUCCAUGAAGGGCACAGUGCUCAUUGACACUCAGUCUGUGACUGGUCUCCAUUGCUCUCCACUCAGGGCCCAGUCACACUCAGAGAGCUUAUUGGAGCUGGUUAGAGGACUUGGAAUCUCUGCCUGGUCUGAGGAAGGGGUCCUGUCAUGGGGGUGAGACACUGUCUGCUCUAGAUUGUUUGCAGCCCAGGUCUUCCUUGGAUGGAGACUCCACACCAGAGAGGCUCUCAGCUUCCCACAGGGCUGUCCACUGGAGCAUCCUGGGGAGCCUCCCUGCCUUCUGCUUCAUGCAUUUUGCACAAAGGAACUAGAAAUGCUUUUUGUGAAGUUGAGGAGCCAGUGCCAAUAGUGGGGAGUAUUCUAGUUUGUGUGGAUGGAAUGUUAACUGUAAUGAGGCACUUAUUUAUUUAUUUUAUUAUUAUUAUUAUUAUUUUUAUUUAUUUAAGAAAGGAGACAUUAACAAAACCAUAGAAUAAGAGGGGUACAAUUCCGCACAAUUCCCAUAACCCGAUCUCCACAUCUCAUCCCCCCCCACACACACCCCAUAGCCUUCCCAUUCUCUCUCUCUGGGAGUAUGGAUCCAGGGUCGUUGUGGGUUGCAGAAGGUGGAAGGUCUGGCUUCUGUAAUUGCUUCCCCACUGAACGUGGGCAUUGACUGGUUGAUCCAUACUCCCAGUCUGUCUCUCUCUUUUCUCUCUUUCCCUAGUAGGGUGGGGCUCUGAGGAAGCGGCGCUCCAGUACACAUUGAUGGGGUCGUCUGUCCAGGGAAGUCUGGUCAGCAUCUUCUGGCAUCUGGAACCUGGUGGCUGAAAAGAGAGUUAGCAUACAAAGCCAAACAAAUUGUUGAACAAUCAUGGACCUAAAGACUGGAAUAGUGCAGAUGAAGUAUUGGGGGGUAUUCCCUGCAUGCUCUUGUGUACUUCUGCUUUCAGGUAUAUUUUUUCCCUAGUUUAUGGGCACAGGUGAACCUAUGCUCUAUCUCAGGGGACCUGGACUAUAUCUAGGUUUGGGGACUUUAUUGGGGAGUGGAACACCUGGAAUGGAAUUAGAGAAUACUAUGAAAGGAAAGGUCUCACCCGAGUGAUGAAGCUGAAGGGUUGUCAUUCCACACCUGAAGUCUGUCCUGAAAGCUUGCCAAAGCUUUCUCUGAACCAUCUCUGCUUCUCUAGCAACCACUCAAGGCCUAUCCACAGACCCCAGCUAAAGAGGCCCUUCUGGCCUUUUGGCCAGAGCUUCUUACAGAGUAUGAGGAUCAGAUAUUUACAGUACCCUCCCACAUCGCAGCGCAGAAGGCUGUUCGAUUGAGGUGCAUAAACCUAGAAACUAUACUGCACAUGGGACUGGGGGUUUCCAUGUAUAUCUGCUUUGUGCUUCACCUUCAUUCCCUGGAGGGGGAGGUUUCUCCAGGGAGCAAAUCUAAAGAGGUCCAUGUUUAUCCAGUGAGUGCAAACAUGGACCAAAAAGUCAUUCACCAAAGUGAUUAUCUGCUACAAUACCUGAGCUCUCAGGGGUAGAAAAGGUUGCUUCUCUCAUGCAUUUUGGUGUGUUGUUUAGUCAGCCUUAGCCUUUAGAAUUUUUAUUCUACCUACAAAUGUCCUUUUAAUUAUUCACAAAAGCACUGAAUUUGUCUCUAUUUUUCUUUCACUUUCCUCACAGAUGAUAGUGACACAGAGUUCUUCUGAGAUAUACUGGGACUAAGCCAGAGAAACAAACACCACCAGACUUUAAAAAAAAAAAAAAAAAAAAAGACACCAAAACAAACACCACCAGCCUUAAAAAAAACACAAAAUUUUCUUCCUAUCUCUCCACCCCCACCCUCCCAAGAAUCCAUUGCUUUGGUACAUUAUACCAUAUGUCUAACCUAUGUUUCACUUUGUGCUCUCCUUCCCCAAAGUCCUUUGCUUUGGUGCAAUACAACAUAACUAAAUACUUUUUCUCACUUGAAUAAAACCCAUUGUUAAUAAUAAUAAAAAAAUGUUCAUCUUA